rnacentral:sRNA from 1 species
GCUGGGUGAGGUGGGCACACCUGGAAUCCAAGCUAUUUGGGAAGCUGAGGCAGGAGGAUCCCGAGUUUGAGGCCAGCUUGGGCAACUUAGCAAGACCUGCCUCAA